rnacentral:rRNA from 1 species
UACAGAGGUCUCAAGCGUUGUUCGGAUUCACUGGGCGUAAAGGGUGCGCAGGCGGCCAAGUGUGUUAGGUGUGAAAGCCCGGGGCUUAACCCCGGAAUUGCACCUAAAACUACAUGGCUAGAGCAUUGGAGAGGGGAGCAGAAUUCACGGUGUAGCAGUGAAAUGCGUAGAUAUCGUGAGGAAUACCAGAGGCGAAGGCGGCUCCCUGGACAAUUGCUGACGCUCAGGCACGAAAGCGUGGGGAGCAAAAGGG